GGAUCUUUACUUUUCUUUUCUAUGUAACGAUGUUUGAUGAUAAAGGGAAGCUAGAACAGGCAAACAUAAGCUUGUUUUGUUGACUUCCACCCUGAAUUCCAAAGUAGAGCUGAAUCGCCAUUUUUCAGGUCCCAUGGGAUUGAGUUUAAAUUACUCCAGUUUGCUGUUCGUCCCAUAAGAUUUAUGUUUAAGCUACCUAUUUUGGGUACCUUAUACAUCUUAAUUUAUUGAGAAACACAUUUGGCUCAAGCUUUGCAUGCUUUCGAUAGAAAUAGCUGAUUUCACAUUCGUUAGUUUAUUUCAUAUUUUGUUACAAUGGCAAAUUAGCUUACACUUUUUACAUUUGAUUUUUGCUUCUGCAAUUGUAUCUUCUUGUACUUCAAAUUCCUAUCCUAUUCAUUUGCAUGUUUAGUCCAAAUGCACUCCAGAAUGGUUAGAAGUUGCAGGAGCUUUUUAACUUGAUGUACUCAAGGUUUCAAAGAUAGGGUUAGGGUUAAAAGAUCAUUCUUUCUUGAUUAUAAUCGACAUAUUAAUUGUUGCGCAUUUUUCUGUCUGAUGUGCACAGGGACCAGGAGAUAAGGCACCUCAAGCUCCAACUGCAGCAGCUGCACCUACAGCUCAACCCGCUCAGGCAUCCAAGAAAUCCAAGAAGUGAUCGAGAUCUGCAAUGAUGGAUACUGAGGAUUUAGAAGAACACAUUGUAUCUUGUGUUCUGGUUAUUAUCAUAGUUCAGUGAUUUUUGACCUAUUAUGUUUUUCAUUUUGUCUUUUGGUUAUUUUGUCGAACAGUGUCGUUUUCUUGUUGAAGGAAGAUUGUAAAGAUAUUUGAUACUUCCCGGUUUGUUUUCAUCUAUGUUAAAGUCGGUUCCUUUCGUUU